UAAUUUUUAUUUUUUAACGAGUAAAGUAUUAUUUUUAUCCCUAACGUUUGGAGUAAGUCUCAAAAUUAUUCUUAACGUUUCAAUCGUCCUAUUUAAGUCCCUAACAUUUUAAAAUUGGCUCAAUGUUGUGCUGCUUUUAGGGAUCCAUUAACAGAAUUGAC